ACAACGUGUUGGGUCACCCAUCUGCACACCCACAGUAAAACCUUUGUGGAUGCCUCAGCAGCUACGUCUCCCAGAAAUGGCAUCUAUGAGACCAAGGGCAUUGGGGAUGGCGGUGCUAAUCUCCUGGGGGCAAGACAACAAAGGUCCAUAGAGUUGUGCUUAGAAUAAGGCAAAAGAAGCCAUCAGCAACAGCAGCCCACAUGACGUUCAAACUACUGUUCUGGUUCCCUGCUUGGCAGGAGCAAAGCGCGUACCCUUCCGGGAAAGAGUCAAUGCCUGAGCUGUGUUGGAGAGGUCAGAGUACAGGAAAGAUUUAUCAACUGUGCAAACACCCACAUAUAUUAGUGCGAGGUUUGCCAAAGCUUUUGGUUUAAUUGCAAAUAUUUCCUUGGAACCAGCCGGCUGAGGGGUCAGGCUGGAGGUAUUCAUGGUUGCAGCAUUUUCAAGUUUUCCCUCACUUUCAGGGGACUUUCACUUAUUCCCAACGUACAGCUGGAAGAAGAAAUGGGGGGGGGGGAGGGAUUUGUCCAGAAUGUUUACCUGCAAAUGAAACUAUUGAUCUGUUGCUCAAAUUUUUCCACACUUUGCUUGUCCUGCACCUGGAAAGCUAUUUAAAUAACGGAAUAAGCCACUUGCGCAGAAAUAAGGAUGGAACACUUUCAGCCUAAGCCAUUGAUCACUUACAGGGAAGUGCUGCCAGGACUGCAGCAUUGAAACUCACUCCUCAGCGUACUCAGAAAUAAAUCCUAUUACAUCCAGUGGGUCUUAUUCCCAGGUAUAUGGGGUUAGGAUUGCAUCCUUAGGACACAAUUCUGACUCCCAUCCCCUGCCUGCAGGGCUUUACAGAGGGAGGGUCCCAUGGUUGCACUGACAGCUUUGCUGUUCAGAGUGGCUUGAGCAGAAGGGGAGGCGGAUCCGUCUGCGAUCACUAUUCGUGAUCGUUGUGCCUUCUCCAGCUUUAGAUCUGGACCCAAUAAUCUCACAUGUAAUACUGGCAAAGACUUGCCCCUUCCCUGCCCUCAGAAUGCUCUGCUUCGGUGCUUUCCAGGGCAAGGAACAUGGACUGGACUCAGAGGCCUCGUUAUCAUCAUUUUAAUCACCUGUAAUUAGUUCAGAACAGCCUCUGACACGCCAGUCGUUCAGGUACCGAGUGAGCAGAGUUUCACAGUCCAACUUCAUACAGCACAGUGUUUCUUCAGUAUGUACCUGGUCACAAGAUGUGCAGCUGGAAAAAUGGGGGACUAAACACAUUAGGUGCGUGUGUGUGGUUUAAGCACUUAAAUGUCAGGCAACAUCAGGGACAUCAAAUGAUAUAAAAUUAUAUGAAGGACCAAGGGCUUAUCCAGGCUUCCAUUUUGUGCCAGGAUUUCUAGGCACGGAUCGGAGUGGUUUUUGGUUUGGUUUUGUCUUGCUGCUUGGCCCAGGAAAAUCCAUUGUUUACUACUGAAUCGGAACAAACAUCAAUUGAGUUUUCCACAAAAUGGGCGUUUGUUCCGAUUUAGUGGUAAACAGCAGGUUUUCCCAAGGAAAGCAGCAGCACAAACGAACAAAACACUUGGACCAGUGCCUGGAAAUCACAGCACAAACAGAAGUGUGGAUUAUGAAUGUGACAUCUUCCAGACUGCCUUCUCCUUGUCUUCUUUACAAUGAAUUCAUCCUACUUGGCUAGCUCAGUCGGUAGAGCAUGAGACAUUGGGCGAAAGAUUCUUGCAAUGCAGGGGUUGGACUAGAUGACUCUCAUGGUCCCUUCCAAUUCUACAUUUCUAUUAUGUGUAGCCUUCCUUAUAGCAAGAUAUACAGUGGCUACAUGAAUAGACCUAGAUGGGCUGCAUGCUGAGCCUCAUGAGGACAUCUAUUAAGCUAUCAAAAAUUGAAAGAAAUCCCCAGACCCCAUGAAAGAUUCCAGGGAGAUACUUUCAAAGUUUAAUAAAACAUUCACUUCAUUGGGCUGCUGUACAGAUCUAAAGAUUGAUAUAGAUGUUCAGUUGGGCUCACACCAAAUUAUUGUGCAAAAUGAAGUCACAUACAUUUGAGAAGUUUCAGUUUCACAGAAUAUACACACCCUGGCACUUUGCAGCCAGUUCUUACAAGAAAAUAUUGCAUGAUGAACACUUCAAACAUACCAGAGCAAUAAAGUCAGGAGCAGCACACUUCCUUGUUCUCAUAAUGAUCUCUGUGGUCCACACCUCUCCAUAUUAUUGUACACUGAAAAGAGGCAUUGACCUUCACACAUAUAUGCACUCCAUCUUCAGGAUACCAGUUUGUUUGGAGGACCAGAAAUACAUGUGACACAAUAAAAGAGAAGUGAGCAAACAGGUGGUGCCUGCAGGAGUACCUAAAUGAUGUGUUGUUGUCCAUGAAUUACCAUGGUAAAAUUUGCAAAAUCGGUAUAUGAUGCAUACAUACUGGAUUUUCACUUAAGCAAUGCCAUGAAGUCAAAGAUCACAUAGAUAAGGGUGAGCAGAGCAUAGAUUAAAAUCUCUGCCAUGGCUGGUCUUGUGCUCACCACUUAUAUCUCAGCCUUUGUAUUCCUCACCUGUAAAAUAUGACUAUUCAAGUUACCUUUAUUGAAUGACCAUUAAAAGCAAUUUUCCAGUA